UGGUCCGGUCUUGUCUUGUCUCGUCUCGUCUGAUUGUACGGGGCCUGGUGAGAGUGUCCAUGACGUAACGGCCUAUGUCAGGUGACCCCCGGAGUGAAGAUGGCGUCUGUGGCGGAGAUGUACGAUACAUGCGCGACAAGCUGAGGAAAUGGCGUGAUGAGAACUACCGCAACAGUGAACAGAUAGUGGAAGUCGGAGAAGAACUAAUUAGUGACUAUGCAUCAAAACUUGGAGAUGACAUUUGGAUAAUUUAUGAACAAGUGAUGAUUGCUGCCCUUGACUGUAGCCGUGAUGACUUGGCAACGCUGUGUCUGCAAGAACUCCGCAAACAAUUUCCAGGCAGCCACCGGGUGAAGCGAUUGACUGGGAUGCGACUUGAAUCUUUGGAAAGGUAUGAAGAUGCCAACAGGAUGUAUGAUGCAAUUUUACAGGAAGAUGCAACAAAUACAGCAGCACGGAAGCGCAAGAUUGCCAUUCUUAAAGCCCUCGGGAAAACCACUGAAGCCAUCAGAGAACUGAAUGAAUAUCUGGAACAGUUUGUUGGAGACCAAGAGGCUUGGCACGAACUAGCAGAGCUUUACAUCAACGAACAUGAUUACGGAAAAGCAGCAUUUUGCUUAGAGGAACUUAUGAUGACUAACCCUCAUAAUCAUCUGUACUCUCAACACUAUGCAGAGGUGAAAUAUACCCAAGGUGGACUGGAAAACCUAGAAAUCUCCAGGAAGUAUUUUUCCCAGUCCCUGAAACUAAACAACAGGAACAUGCGUGCUUUGUUUGGGCUUUAUAUGUCUGCAAGUCAUAUUGCAUCUAACCCUAAAGCUAAUGCUAAAAUGAAAAAGGACAACAUGAAGUAUGCAGCUUGGGCAGCUACACAGAUCAACAAAGCUUAUCAAGCCAGUAUGUUCUUUCCAAGGUGUGGUGCUUAGAUCUGCACAUUGUACUCCAAGUGGGGUCUAAUCGGGGUUAGAUUUCGAACCAAGCCCCACCCUUGUUCACAGCUUGCCGGUUGCAGCAGGAAGGAGACCAAGUACUCACUAAAGGUUGUAGAAGAUAUGCUGGAAGCAUUACAGAUCACACAGUCAUGAAGUCAUUAUGUUUGUGUGGAUCUGCCACAUUCACCCCUGCCACUUGUGUGUACCCUUGGGAUCUGGCUUCAGCACCCUUUCUCUCUUCUGUUUAGCAAUGUCAACAUGGCUGCAAACUUUAUUUUGUGAAUUUAAUUCAGAGUUUGCCAAUGUAACUGCUACUUCACAUCAGGGGCAAUUAACCUAUGUUCAAUUAGAGACCAGUUGGUAGCUUGUAAUGUAACAGUUAUUAAAAUUUAUAAUUCUAUGGAAAAAGAAUUUACCAAUAAACAUUUUACCAGUUCCGAGUGAA